rnacentral:lncRNA from 1 species
AUGCUUCCUUCUCCAUCUCCCCUAGUCCAUGCUGUGUGGCUUUGGGGAAGUGACUGCAGGGAAAAGCGACCACGCAGCCGACUGCAGAAUGGGAACAGGCAAAAUGACUCAGCAAGGCUGGCACCAAGCUGGAGAAAACACAGAAACGCAUGGCUUUGCUUCCCUGCCCAAGCUGCCACCUCGAGCGUCUGGGCUCGACAAAACGAAACACAGCCGCGUGACGAUGUGCUGUGGCUGCCGCCGCCGCUCAGCCUCCCGCAGAGCUCCCAGCACCGGGCACCGGUCUCCCCGUCGGAGCCCGGGAAGGGAGCGGUGCCUUCUGCUUGCCCAGACCCUGCGCCGGGCAAACUCGAGCGUUGCAAAGCGGGGCUGGGCUCCGCGGCCAGCGGUGCCGCCGGCGGUGCCGGCUCCAGCCCCCAACGUUUGCAAGGGUUCGCAUGGCGAGGUAACUCUCUUCCCAUGACACAGCAGAACAGCAGCAGCAGCGGCGGCGGCAGCAGCGUAAAAGAGAUUGGUUCUGGCAGUGCUCCGAGGAGACUAUUUUAUAUCCCGGCUCCAGCCUCUUUCUCCUUUAAGGACGAUCCGGAGGAGGGAAUGUGGAAUAAAAAGAGGCUUAGCGAGGUAGGCAGAUAAACCCCGGGGAAAUAGAAGGGCAGGCACGCUGGGGCUGGGACCCACGGCAGUGGGACAGCCUGGAUAUAACGGCAGAAAGAAACAGGGUGGUAGAAAACACCCUAAAAUUGGACAGGAAAGGCCAGAUGAGCAAACACGAGGUGUAGGGCACACAGAGGGAAGCAUCUGAGCCCUCCAGGGAAGAAGGAAGGAAGGGAGGAUGAACUGCUCCGCGCUCGGCUAACCCUUUUUCGUUAAAGCCAUUAAUAGCUCCUACAAAAGUCCCGUCUAGGUACUGAAAAAGAGUAAUAACAUAUCCGAAACACCGACCUGUUACAUAUAUAGCUCGUUGUGAGGGCAGGCUGAAUUGAAUGGGGUUGGGCACGGGCGUCCCAACUCCGAAAGUCCAAACGGGGGAGCAGGAGGAGGUUUGCCAGGACAGGGCCUGCGCGGGGCAUCGUGUCCCGUCGAAGCGUGACGGGCAUCGGUGUCAGCCAGAGGUGGAAAAGGCGAUUUAUUCGUCUCCAUUCACGGGAACUCUGAGAGGUGCUGAAUAAAUUGGAUUCCAGUCCUGUUCUCA